rnacentral:rRNA from 1 species
CUACGUGCCAGCAGCCGCGGUAAUACGGAAGGUCCAGGCGUUAUCCGGAUUUAUUGGGUUUAAAGGGAGCGUAGGCGGAUUGUUAAGUCAGCGGUUAAAGGGUGUGGCUCAACCAUACAUUGCCGUUGAAACUGGCGAUCUUGAGUGCAGACAGGGAUGCCGGAAUUCGUGGUGUAGCGGUGAAAUGCUUAGAUAUCAUGAAGAACUCCGAUUGCGAAGGCAGCAUACGGGAGUGUAACUGACGCUUAAGCUCGAAGGUGCGGGUAUCGAACAGGAUUAGAUACCCUGGUAGUCCGCACAGUAAACGAUGGAUGCCCGCUGUUAGCGCCUGGCGUUAGCGGCUAAGCGAAAGCAUUAAGCAUCCCACCUGGGGAGUACGCCGGCAACGGUGAAACUCAAAGGAAUUGACGGGGGCCCGCACAAGCGGAGGAACAUGUGGUUUAAUUCGAUGAUACGCGAGGAACCUUACCCGGGCUUGAAUUGCAGAGGAAUUAUUUAGAGAUA